rnacentral:rRNA from 1 species
UACGUAGGGGGCAAGCGUUGUCCGGAUUUAUUGGGCGUAAAAGAGCUCGUAGGCGGUUCGUCGCGUCGGCUGUGAAAUCCCGAGGCUCAACCUCGGGUCUGCAGUCGAUACGGGCGGACUGGAGUUCGGCAGGGGAGACUGGAAUUCCUGGUGUAGCGGUGAAAUGCGCAGAUAUCAGGAGGAACACCGGUGGCGAAGGCAGGUCUCUGGGCAUUAACUGACGCUGAGGAGCGAAAGCAUGGGAGCGAACAGG